AUACAGAGGGUGCGAGCGUUAAUCGGAAUUACUGGGCGUAAAGCGCGCGUAGGCGGCUUAUUAAGUCAGAUGUGAAAUCCCCGGGCUCAACCUGGGAACUGCAUCUGAUACUGGUAAGCUAGAGUUUUGGAGAGGGAAGUAGAAUUUCAGGUGUAGCGGUGAAAUGCAUAGAGAUCUGAAGGAAUACUAGUGGCGAAGGCGACUUCCUGGCCAAAAACUGACGCUGAGGUGCGAAAGCGUGGGUAGCAAACGGGAUUAGAAACCCCAGUAGUCC
rnacentral:rRNA from 1 species